rnacentral:tRNA from 1 species
GGGCCCAUAGCUCAGUUGGUAGAGCAGCGGACUCAUAAUCCGUUAGUCGUAGGUUCGAGUCCUACUGGGCCCA